GGGUAACCUGCCCUAUGCUGGAUAAUAACCUCGGGAAACUGAGUAUAAUGAUCCAUAGCUCACUACGCCUGGAACGGUGAGUGGAUGAAAGCUCCGGCGGCAUAGGAUGGGCCUGCGGCGUAUCAGGUAGUAGGGGGUGUAACGUACCCUCUAGCCCUCUACGCGUACGGGUGUUGGGAGACAUAGCCCGGAGAUGGAUUCUGAGACACGAAUCCAGACCCUACGGGGUGCAGCAGGCGCGAAAACUUGGCAAUGCGAGAAAUCGUGACCAGGGAACUCCAAGUGCAUCGGGUAAGACCGGUGCUUUUCUUGACUCUAAAUAGGUCUUGGAAUAAGGGGUGGGUAAGGACGGUGCCAGCCGCCGCGGUAAUACCGGCGCCUCAAGUGGUAGUCGCUUUUAUUGGGCCUAAAACGUCCGUAGCCGGUCUGAUACAUUCGUGGGUAAAUCAACCAGCUCAACUGGUUGAAUUCUGCGAGGACGGUCAGACUUGGGACCGGGAGAGGUGUGGGGUACGCUCAGGGUAGGGGUAAAAUCCUGUCAUCCUGAGCGGACCACCUGUUGCGAAGGCGCCACACUAGAACGGAUCCGACGGUCAGGGACGAAGCCUAGGGGCACGAACCGGAUUAGAUACCCGGGUAGUCCUAGGUGUAGACGCUGUGGACUUGGUGUUGGGAAGGUUCCGAGCCUUCUCAGUGCC
rnacentral:rRNA from 1 species